ACAAGCAUCGUUGUUAGAGGGUUAAAUCACCGUCACAUUUCCACAACACGAAAAAUAAAGUACUUGGGUCACCAAAUUUAAAGUUAAAUCCUUCUAGCAGUUGUGCACAUUUUCCCUAUUUCUCCUUCCCUGAAAAUAGGUCCCCACCUAACAAGCUAGAGGAAAGGGCAGACACAACCUCUGACAAGCCACCUUGCAAGCUUCCCUUGACACCUCUGAAGCCACAGUCUCCCUCCCAAGGCCAGUGUGAUAUUCUCAAAUCAGAAGAGGGAACCAACACCGCUUGUGAUGACUGAGAGGAGAAGGAUACUAAAGGAAAGCAUAUCUCGCACACUCCAGAGCAGCAUAAGGACACAUCACCCCAGUAGGGAGUGAAGAAAGUAGUGAACAAAGUACCUCCAUGCCCUAGUCAGCCCAGCUCCACAUUCAACCCAGGAGGAAAGAAGCAAUGAAGGAGCUGAAAAUGGCCACGCAACAAACCAAAUUAUCACAUUCAAAGUUACGGUAAGUAACAGCCCUCUAAUAGCUAUGUUCUACUGAUAUGAAUAAGUAACAAGAAAUAAAUGAAUUUAAUCUUACUAUUUAACUCAGUAUUUUCCUUUUUUUUUUUUUUUUAGGGCCACACCCAGAGCAUAAAGAAGUUCCCAG